AUACACAUGGUUAUGAUUUACAACAAAAGUCGAAAGUUAAGUUUUCUUUUCAUUUUGUAUUUGUUCAUAAUAAAAGCCAAAAUAGUAACUUAUAAAGAGACAUUUUAAACGACAUACUAAACACACAUCUAACGUGAAUAACUUUAACCAGCAAACGUGAAUUAACAUGCAUAGAUUUUAUUUUUUUCCACUUUAAAACUCCAUGCGGUGACAUAAGUGGAAUAUUCCUCAACUAGAACACUGCGAAGCCUGUCAAAAACUUUAUUAUUUAAUAUUGAACAACAUGAGAACAAUACGAUCUCCGGGGCACAUCUGCAUCAUCACCGGCGGCGGAUUCCGGUGAAGAGAGCGGAGCCGCGUUCAUUCAUUCCCCGUCAGUCCGUCCGGCUGAGGCCACCGUCGGCAGCAUGAGCCAGAGGUUUACCGUGACUACCGGUGACAUCCAGGGAGAAGUCAACCAGCUGUUUGAGGGCGAUGAGGAGACACCGAGCACUGCUGCUGCUGCUGGGGGAUCCGGCAAAGGUAAGAGAUAUACCUACUGUAUACCUUAUGAUGAUGAUGAUGCUCGGACACCUGUAAAAGAUGAACUCGUCCAACUGCUGGGAAUGUGACACUGACAUAUUAAUAUUCAACACGCCACCCUCAAGUGUGAAUAAAUGACUCACAGACCAUUUUCACC
rnacentral:lncRNA from 1 species